rnacentral:tRNA from 1 species
UAAGACCUGCAGGACUCUAUCCAACAUCACCUGAAUGCAACUCAAAUACUUUAACUAAGCUAAGGCCUU